GUCUCGGUAGCUCAGUUGGUAGAGCGGCGGACUGAUAUCCCGGAGUGGCGAGUUCGAGUCUCGCCCGAUACA